rnacentral:rRNA from 1 species
AUACGUAGGUGGCAAGCGUUGUCCGGAUUUAUUGGGCGUAAAGGGAACGCAGGCGGUCUUUUAAGUCUGAUGUGAAAGCCUUCGGCUUAACCGAAGUCGUGCAUUGGAAACUGGGAGACUUGAGUGCAGAAGAGGAGAGUGGAACUCCAUGUGUAGCGGUGAAAUGCGUAGAUAUAUGGAAGAACACCAGUGGCGAAAGCGGCUCUCUGGUCUGUAACUGACGCUGAGGUUCGAAAGCGUGGGUAGCAAACAGGAUUAGAUACCCUGGUAGUCCACGCUGUAAACGAUGAAUGCUAAGUGUUGGAGGGUUUCCGCCCUUCAGUGCCGCAGCAAACGCAUUAAGCAUUCCGCCUGGGGAGUACGACCGCAAGGUUGAA